GGAAAUUCUAUAAAAAUAGCAAGCACUCAUAGUCAUAGAGGGAUAGACGUUAAAAGCAUAGCAGCCCUCAAGGCUAAAAGCAGAAACCUUCUUCUAGCCAUCAAGGAAUUCCUAUAAUGGGAAUGAAACGGUAGAAGUCGAAGGGUGGCAGUGCUGGCAGGGCCGGAGCCCCUGGAGCAAAAGGGCCGACGGUUUUCGAUGUUCCGAUAGCCGGAGAUGACCGAUUGCCAACCAUCUUCUUAUUAUUUUGGUGCUCAGUUAUAGAGGGGCAAGAUGUAGUGAAAAAGGUGAGAGAGGUGGCUAAACUGUACGAGUCCGACGCUUCCAACUUGACCAUCUUCGACACCAUGUUUCUCUUCAAGGCACAGAGCUGUUCUGGCCCUCCGAGGAGGACUGCAAAGCAGCUUGAAGACGAAGAACGGUUGGCUGGAACCUCGAGCUCGAAGUAGCCA
rnacentral:misc_RNA from 1 species